AUGCUCCUGGAAAUCUGGGCCAGCCACAGAACCCUGUUUGUGCUGCGGACGCUGUGUGGAGACGUUUUGCAAUGCCCGAGGGAGGCUGGCACACCAGGGAUGCAGAGACAGUCAGCCGGAGCCCAAUGAGAGCUGCAGGCCUGUGUGAUUCCAGUCUGCAGUCCUAUUGUGCAGCUCUCUUCUGAGAACACAAGAGCAUAUAAUGCCCUUCUGCUCAAAGGUCAGCUCAGUGCUGUCUCGUAGACAAUGGCACCAAAAGGCGAGGUGGCUCACA
rnacentral:lncRNA from 1 species